rnacentral:tRNA from 1 species
AAUGUAGUGGCUGAUAAAAGUAUUAGACUGUAAAUCUAACUAUGGGUAAUUUACCCCUACAUUA